rnacentral:rRNA from 1 species
UACAGAGGUCUCAAGCGUUGUUCGGAUUCAUUGGGCGUAAAGGGUGCGUAGGCGGCGCGGUAAGUCGGGUGUGAAUCUCGGGGCUUAACUCCGAAACUGCAUUCGAUACUGCCGUGCUUGAGGACUGGAGAGAGUAGAGUAAUUGACGGUGAGCGGUGAAAUGCGUAGAUAUCGUAAGGAAGACCAGUGGCGAAGGCGGGUCUCUGGACAGUUCCUGACGCUGAGGCACGAAGGCCAGGGAGCAAACGGG